rnacentral:rRNA from 1 species
AUUGAACGCUGGCGGCAGGCCUAACACAUGCAAGUCGAGCGAGCGGCGGACGGGUGAGUAAUGUAUGGGGACUGCCCGAUAGAGGGGGAUAACUACUGGAAACGGUAGCUAAUACCGCAUACCAUCGGAUUACCCAGAUGGGAUUAGCUAGUAGGUGAGGUAACGGCUCACCUAGGCGACGAUCCCUAGCUGGUCUGAGAGGAUGAACAGCGACACAGGGACUGGGACACGGUCCGGACUCCAAGGGAGGCGGCAGUGGGGAAUAUUGCACAAUGGGCGCAAGCCUGAUGAAGCCAUGCCGAGUGUAUGAAGAAGGCCUUAGGGUUGUAAAGUACUUUCAGUCGGGAGGCGUUACCGACAGAAGAAGCACCGGCUAACGCCGUGCCAGCAGCCGCGGUAAUUC